rnacentral:rRNA from 1 species
GACAGAGGUGCCAAGCGUUAGGCGGAAUCACUGGGCUUAAAGCGUGUGUAGGCGGAUCGUUAAGUACCUUGUGAAAUCCCACGGCUCAACCGUGGAACUGCUCGGUAUACUGGCGGUCUUGAGCCACCUAGGGGCAACUGGAACAAGCGGUGGAGCGGUGAAUGCGUAGAUAUCGCUUGGAACGCCAACGGUGAAACAGGUGCUGGGGUGUGCUGACG